CCUUGUAUUCUAUUCUAGUUCUGUUGGAAUAUAAAUAUGAACAACUGGCUGUAGAGUAUGUUUACGAAUCGAUAUUUUUCAAAAUAAUUAUCAUGCACGUCAACUCAUACGAGCAAAGAGAUAACUAGGACGAGUACAUAUUUUUCCAACUAAGCCCAUAAAGCUUUUUACAAUCGAUUUGCAUACGUGGCACAUAUUUUUUUGCAGAACCCUUUCCGGUUGGACGCCCCGGACAGUAAAAUGUCAGCUAAAGGACAUCCGAGCCAAUCAUAAAUUUUUCUGACUCGCUAUCUUACGUGCAAAAAUAUGAAUGGACGCAUAAUCUUCCUUCUACUUUUUUUUAACCCUUCCUCUAACUUCAAGCAGUGUCGUAUUUUUAAAAAGUCUCAUCAACUGGAUACUUUUCAAGCUUUUGAAUAUAAAUUUCUAAUAUUCGCGAUGUAUACGAUACUGAUGAGCUCUUCCUAAAAUCCCCGGGUUCUGACAUCUAGGAUACACGUCAGCCGGGGAACAGUUUCAAAGUUUUUAUUUUCCUGAGUCAGUUCCAGCUCAUCCGACGAACUAAACAGACGUUUUGACUAAACAAGCUCAGUUACUAAAUUGACUAAUUUAUAAUAAGUCGGUAAAAUUAUUAACGAACUAUGUAGUAAUAAAUCAAAAUUAUUUUGAUUUUUUAGAUUAAAUACUUUUUUUUUAUAACAUUUAUUUAUGUUUAAAAAAAUGGCGCUAAUAAAAAACUUCGGAGUUCACUUUUAAAUUUAAAAAAAUGUAACGUACAAGAAUAUCAAGCGAUAAAAUUUUCCAGUACUUCUUCUUAUCAUCAAAUUUCUUCUUCUAUGUACCAAUUUCUCGGAUUUCAUUUCCUGAACCACUCCAAUUAUGAAAUCAAAAAUUUGUCAUCAUGCUGUGCACCAAGACAAUAAAAAUACACAUUUCAUACUUUGAAGAAUCAUGCGGCGCAUAAAAUAAAAGGAACAAUCCUGUCGAGGGACCACUCUACGAGCAACUUUGAUCAAAUGAUAACAAAAUUCACCAGAUUCUUCUCUGGAUGUCCAACAAACGCUAUCAGGAUUUGUCCAAAAAUAUCUCGCUACUCAAAGCACAAGACAACUUCAGUUCAUCAUAUAACUCACGGCAACUAUAAUUUUCAUUUCAUGAGUAAAAUCUAUAUUUGAAUAUUCAAUCUAUCGUUGGAAAAAAUUUCCAACAAAGUUUGAGUAGCAAUAAUUUUGAGAAAUUUGAAUUUUUUAUGCUAUCUUAUAUUUUUUUAUACUUAAAAAAGUAUUAUUAUAUUGGCGCUAUUAUAAACGUCUCAUACGAGUUUAAAAAUACCGAUGGUACGGGUUUUCGAUGUGUUUUGUGAUUUAAUGCCUCCUUUUUAUAUUGAAUCGAGUCUUAGAAUAUGUCAAAUUUCACUCAUUUUUUCAAUAUAUAAGUAAAUUUUAAAUCAUCAAUAUCUACAGAAAAUAAAUUUCUUGGCGCGAAAAAUAUUUUGCACUAUGAAUUGAAAACAAAAAUUUUCUUAGGGCUGGAAAAAAUUUCUUGGCGCAAGAAUUUUUUUGUUGCCCCAAAAAUCUUUUUCUUGCCCCGACAAAAUUUUUUCUCGCCCCAAAAAAAUUUCUGUUUUCAAUUCAUAGUUCAAAAUUUUUUGGGGCAAGAAAAUUUUUUUUGCUUAGAAAUCGAUUUGUUUUUCAUUCGGAUGUUUAUAAUGUUUCGGAAAAUCGAUAAUUUCAAUACUUAAAAUUAAAAAAAAAGUCAUAAAAUUAAUUUUCAUCAAAAUAAUAUACAAUCAGAAUAAAAUAUAUUUUCCGCAAUCCGUUAGAGUUCAUUUUUUAAACGUCAUUUUUUAUGAAUCCAAUAGACAAAAAUUGUUUAAAUAACAUAUUUUUCGAUAUGUGUAAAUUACACUAUAAAGCGUUUCGUAAUCAAUAAUGAGUCAUCAUGAUGUACACGCAAUCGAUUUUUUUUUUUAGUUAAAACGCGAUAAAUAAAAAAUAUAUAUUUUGUAUCGGAAUGUAAAUAUUUUUUAAUGGCUUCUAUAUUUCCCUAUUUGUUUAUUUAUGACUUCGUUAUGUAAGUUGGGAUGAUAAUGCACAUGAUAAUUAAAAAUCGUAUCAAUUUUGUAAGCUUUCAACGUUUCGACGACCCGGUUUUAUUAAAAAAGCUGAUAAUUCUCCUUGAAAGACUGGAUUAAAUCCUAAGAGAAGCAAAGGUGCGCAUAAAUAUAUAAUACGCAUCGCUAGUCGGUCCAUCGGAGACAUAAUUACUACAUUAAGUAUUUAAUCGAGACAUUUAUAAGAGCGCUAGUGUAAUUAUAUUCACCAAUAAAUAUAAUUUUUAUCAAAAUUUGAAUCAAAUAGCAAAUGGCGGUAAAAAAAAUUUGAAUUAUAAAAAUUAUUGUUACUUUCUGCUUUAUGUAAAAUAAUAUUUUUAUAUUUUGAUAUCGUUUCACUCCUCCCGUACUAAUAAGUAAACUUAUUACUACGAAACGAGUCAAAAGAUAUUAACAGAUAAAAAACUUUUUUUUUUUUUUCAAAAACAAGUCACUAAAUUUUGUAAUUUUAAAUUUCCUUUAUCAUCAUUCACUAUUUUUUUAAUAGUUUUCAUUGCAAUUAAAUUUAGUGAUCAAUAUCAUUGCGGUGGUUCUGUAAUUAAUGUUUUUUGAUAUCUAUAUAUUAAAUACUCUGUAAUGGUGUUACCGAUGGACAUACUAUUGAUACGCAUUAUAUUUUUAAGCCCACUUUCACUCCUUUUAGGAGUUAAUCCAGUCUCACAAGGAGAAAUAUGAGCUUUAUUAAUGAGACUUUGUCGUCCCAACGUUGAAAGCUUGCAAAAUUGAUAUGAUUUAUAAUUAUCAUGCGCAUUAUUAUCCCAACUUGCAUGAUGAAAUUAUUCAUAGACAAGUUGGGGAAUAAACAAAUUCAUUAAUAAAUAUUAACAUCCCGAUCCGAAAUAUAUUUUUUUUGUUUAUCUCGUUUUAACAAGAAAAAAGCAUCGACUGCAUGUCCAUCAUGAUGGCUCACUAUUGAUUACGAAGAGCUUUGCAAUGUAAUUUAUAUAUAUCAAAAAAUAUGAUAUUUAAAUGAUAUUUGGGUAUUGGAUUUGUGAAAGUUGGCGAUUAAAAAAUGAACUCAAUUAAACGACACGGAAAAUAGUUUUGAUGUGACUUUGAAUAGUUGUAUAUUAUCAUGCUUUUGACCGAAAACGCGAUGCAUUGGGACGAUACUGAAAUAUAGAUAUUGAUUAUUUAAAAUUUUCUUGUAUAGAAGUGAGUUUACUAGGACAUUUGCUGUGAAACUACUUGUAACAAUUAUCUCAUAUGUAUUUCUGUGUGCGAUUAUAAAUAUGUGUGUGCAAUUCAAUAAAAAAUGAUU